GGCCUAACACAUGCAAGUCGAGCGGGCACUUUCGGGUGUCAGCGGCGGACGGGUGAGUAACGCGUGGGAACGUGCCCUCUGGUUCGGAAUAACUCAGGGAAACUUGAGCUAAUACCGGAUACGCCCUUUUGGGGAAAGGCUUGCUGCCGGAGGAUCGGCCCGCGUCUGAUUAGCUAGUUGGUGGGGUAACGGCCUACCAAGGCGACGAUCAGUAGCUGGUCUGAGAGGAUGAUCAGCCACACUGGGACUGAGAUACGGGCCCGACUCCUACGGGAGGCAGCAGUAGGGAAUAUUGGGCAAUGGGCGAGAGCCUGACCCAGCCAUGCCGCGUGCAGGAAGAAGGCUUUCUGAGUCGUAAACUGCUUUUGAUAGGGAAGAAUAACCGGUACGUGUACCGGGAUGACGGUACCUACAGAAUAAGCACCGGCUAACUCCGUGCCAGCAGCCGCGGUAAUAAU
rnacentral:rRNA from 1 species